rnacentral:rRNA from 1 species
UNGGAGAGGAAAGUGGAAUUCCUAGNGUAGCGGUGAAAUGCGUAGAUAUUAGGAAGAACACCNGUGGCGAAGGCGACUUUCUGGACGAAAACUGACGCUGAGGCGCGAAAGCCAGGGGAGCGAACGGGAUUAGNUACCCCGGUAGUCCUGGCCGUAAACGAUGGGUACUAGGUGUAGGAGGUAUCGACCCCUUCUGUGCCGGAGUUAACGCAAUAAGUACCCCGCCUGGGGAGUACGACCGCAAGGUUGAAACUCAAAGGAAUUGACGGGGGCCCGCACAAGCGGUGGAGUAUGUGGUUUAAUUCGACGCAACGCGAAGAACCUUACCAGGUCUUGACAUUGAUGGACAGAACCAGAGAUGGUUCCUCUUCUUCGGAAGCCAGAAAACAGGUGGUGCACGGUUGUCGUCAGCUCGUGUCGUGAGAUGUUGGGUUAAGUCCCGCAACGAGCGCAACCCCUAUCUUAUGAUGCCAGCACUUUGGGUGGGGACUCAUGAGAGACUGCCGCAGACAAUGCGGAGGAAGGCGGGGAUGACGUCAAAUCAUCAUGCCCCUUAUGACCUGGGCUACACACGUACUACAAUGGGAGUUAAUAGACGGAAGCGAGAUCGCGAGAUGGAGCAAACCCGAGAAACACUCUCUCAGUUCGGAUCGUAGGCUGCAACUCGCCUACGUGAAGUCGGAAUCGCUAGUAAUCGCAGGUCAGCAUACUGCGGUGAAUACGUUCCCGGGCCUUGUACACACCGCCCGUCACACCACGAAAGUCGGAAGUGCCCAAAGCCGGUGGGGUAACCUUCGGGAGCCAGCCGUCUA